AAUGGGUUGCCAAGCCGCGAGGCGGAGCCAAUCCUAAAAAGCUGGCCUCAGUUCAGAUUGCAGUCUGAAACUCGACUGCAUGAAGUCGGAGUUGCUAGUAAACGCAGGUCAGCUAUACUGCGUUGAAUACGUUCCCGGGGCCUU
rnacentral:rRNA from 1 species